rnacentral:lncRNA from 1 species
CCCGGCUCCUGAAGGCUUUGCAGAGGAGGUCUCUUGGCAAUAAGCCGCUUUAGCUUGUUUCGAACUCGGUUCUGCUCAGUGCCUUCAGGACACCGACCUGUAGGAGGCGGGGUACAGCAAUUCCAAGCCCAGGAGCGGCGCCGGACCUCCCUCCGCGCCCAAAGCCAGGCCAUCCCGGAGCCCGCCCCAUACUGGAGCUCCGGCGGCUGCUGAACCGCAGCAGCGGCUUGAGCAGCGGCUCGGACUCCUCUUCCUCAUCCUCCUCAGCGCUCAGUUCCGCCAGUUCUGCCGGUCCAGAGCCAGACAGGCGCAGCUCCAGGGGGUUCUCCCGGUCCUGCACCCAGGGAGGCAGGCUCUCCCCACCUCCCCUCAGUCAGCCGCGGCCGGAAGCUCCAAC